UACGAAGGGGGCUAGCGUUGCUCGGAAUCACUGGGCGUAAAGCGCACGUAGGCGGCUUCUUAAGUCAGGGGUGAAAUCCUGGAGCUCAACUCCAGAACUGCCUUUGAUACUGAGGAGCUUGAGUCCGGGAGAGGUGAGUGGAACUGCGAGUGUAGAGGUGAAAUUCGUAGAUAUUCGCAAGAACACCAGUGGCGAAGGCGGCUCACUGGCCCGGAACUGACGCUGAGACGCGAAAGCGUGGGGAGCAAACAGG
rnacentral:rRNA from 1 species